AAAGACUAAAAUUACCUUCUGAGUUCUGACUCGGUCAACACUCAAUACUAAGGUUUAGGGUUCUGAUAUCCACUAUAAAAGAGAAGGCGCCUAAAAGAUUGUUCCGGUUCACACUCUCGUCGAGAGAGGCUGAAGGAUCGAACUUCGGCCAUUGUUCUUCUGAGGCAAAGCUCGUUCGCCAUCGACAAUGAGAGCUAAGUGGAAGAAGAAGCGUAUGAGGAGGCUCAAGAGAAAGCGCAGAAAGAUGAGACAGAGGUCUAAGUAGUUGCAGAUAUCUGGAAAAUGAUCGAGCUUUCUCCUUAAAGUGCCUAUUUUCUCCAUUGCUGUCUAGCAUUAGGUGCUUGAAGUGGUGGAGAUUCUAGUGUUCUUCUGAAGAUAGUUUUGCACCAUUUCCUUUGGUUUUUAUUACUUUGCAUAACCUUAUAUGGUUUGACUUGCUUUCCUUUUAAUAUCCAGUUUGUUCAGACUGAAUAUCAAUUUAUGUGGCCUUCUUAGCUUA